rnacentral:lncRNA from 1 species
GAAAAAAAUACAAAGAGUGGAUGGAGAAUAAAACAGAGACAGCGGCACAGCUGGACACAACUAGAUAGAGAACAGAGCAAAACCAAAUAACAAGACUUAAGAUUACAACAAACAGAGGCCAAGUAUUGUUGAGAUCAGAAGAUGGAAAAUUCAAAAGAGUUGAUGGCAGAUGCUGAAUAACAAGACAACAAUGAACGCAAUAAACAGAAGCAAAGUGUGUUUGUGAUCGACAGACGGAAGUAACGAAAGCGGUUGUUGAUUGAAAAUGAAUGAAUGCAAGGAAAGACUGAUAUUGAAAAUUGAUGUCAAUAGCGAAGGAAUAAUUGAACUUUCGCUUAAUUAUUGUUUGUGGCCUUCUUUUACUUUUUAUUUGUGGGUCAUGUCUUUUGGAACUAAUCAUCUUAGGUUAUCCCUUAUAGCUUUAAGGCCGGUAAACCGGUGUCCGUUGGAUUAGCAUAUAGAAAUCCAACGGUGGAUAUAUAUACUUGGAGAACAAAAUUCAAGAGCAAAGCGAGUGCUGGGCUGCAGUUUCUUAAGGAGAUUUAUAUGUCCUCCUCAAAAAUAAAUGUUUUAAGGUAGAUAUUUAGACUAUUUUAUCAUAAAAUAAAUGUAAUUAAUUUUCAAUAAAUAUCUUAUAUAAAUAUAUAUUUAUUUUUUUAAUUACUAAUGACCUUUAAAUAUACAUAUAUACAUAUCACUAAUUCAAAAAAUAAAUUGUGAUUAUUUGUUAAUGUAUGCGAUUACUUGUGAUGGUAAACAAAGUAGAUAUGGUAUAUUUUGAAGUUAAAUUAAAAAAAAAACAGAGCUUUUACCAUUACUUGCCUUAUCAUCUUUUAAAUUAGAAUUAUUAUUCUUUUAUUUUUCAAGUUGCCAACUCAUCCGCAUUCUUUUUUAUUGAAUUUGAAGAUCAAUGAUUAUAAAAUUGUGUAAAAAUUUUAAGUCAAAACUUUAAAUUAAAAUAAUCUUUAAAUUAUUGAGAAAUAAUAACUUAGUAUAACAAAUAUUAUAUCCUAUAAUAUGCAGAAGCUGAAGCAGCAAAUUGGGGGCUGGAAAUUGCAGAAAAUGCAGCAUGCAUCCCACUGAUUAUUGAAUCAGAUUGCCAAGACGUGGUGAAUUUAAUCACAAAAAAGAAGAGUAGCAAGGUGGAGAUUUUUUGGACUAUCUCGGAAGUUCAUGAAAGGCUGAAACGUCUGAACCAAGUCACUUGUCAACAUACCCCCAGAAGCUGUAAUAGUAUUGCUCAUACUUUAGCUGGUUUUGCUUUAAAAGUUGUGUAACCUACUAUUUGGUUGGAAACUUGCCCAACCCAUCUGCUGUACUUGUUCUCCUAGUUACACUUUCCUUUCAAAAAAAAAAAAUAUCCUAUACUUUAUUGCUACAAAAUUACGAAACCUUAUAUUAUAUUAUGUUUUCAUAUUUCUCCUUUAUAGUGAAGACCAUACUUCUUUUUUAAUAAAUGUUAAAGUAUUAACUUAAAUUUUUUAACCAACACAGUCGACCCUUAAGCUAUAUAUAUUAUAAUAUCCCUAUUCUCUCACAGAUUAAACCAAUCUGAUCUCAGAGUAAGUUGAUACCAUGAGUUUGCAUUUGCCAUCAAAGGAGCAUCAUUACUAAUUAAUAUAGAUUCGAUCAAUAGGCAUGAUAAUAAAUUUUUUUAUCUACAAACAUUAUUUUUGAAAAUAUUAUAUCUUUAAACUUAACUAAAUAUCUUUUAACCAUAUAUGUACAGUUUGUUUGAUCUCUUUUAAAUAUUGGAGAUUACAACAGAACAGAUGCGAAUUAGCAGUGACGCUGAGUUUAGAAGAUUGAAGUUAAGAAAAUUAAGGAAAGGGUAAGGAUGUAUUUUCAAAGUGAAUUAUUGAGAGAUCUUUGAAGAUUACUUCCGUCAAGAGCUGGGUCCUAUACUCUUAACCCUUUGUCCUCCAGUCAACCAUAAGACAAAUUAUUAUUGAGUGUGAGCAGACAUUAACCACCAAAUUUUCAAACUUGUGAUCCUUAUUGAAUCUGCAUUCCCCUUUACAAAAGUAAAAAAAAAAAGUGCAAAUAACGAAACAAAAUUCUGUUCCUUGACUGCAAGUGCUGUCGGCAUUUUCAGACUUGGAAGACCCUUCUACUUGCAAGAUACCACUGAAUUUGUCUUUUUUUUUUAAUUACACUGUAUUAUCUUAUAUUUUAUAAAAAAAUUUAAUAAAUAUUAUAAAUUAUAAAUUUCUGCUGUACCGUACAUCCGCCUUGGCCGUACAGCAGCUUCUCUUUCUUCAGUCGAUCAUAGAGUCUUCUUGCCCUACCCGAUUCACUCUCCUCAUCAAAUUUUAGACCUAGUUUAUCCGCGAUUUCUCCUUGAAGCUUUCUUACGUCUCGACUCUCAGACACCUCAGAAAAAACCACCUGAUCGAAAAGCUUGUCACUCUCUGCUUUUCUAGCAACUUCUUUAGCUAGCGUCGUCUUUCCGAUUCCGCCCAUUCCAUAAAUCAAAAGCAUGUUGACAUUGGGAUUUUUUAAUGCAUCAAUUAUUUCAUUCAGAAUGGACGUUCUUGAUUCAAAGGCCUCGAAGUCUUUGUUAGGCAUAAGCAAGGUAUCCUCCGGAAUGAUGCUGUAGGAAAUACUAUUAACUGGUCUAGCGUCCAGGACUUUGACAACAGCCUCCUUCUGCCUCUCUGCUUCCUUGCUAAGUCGAGGGCGGGUCUUCAAAUUAGGACAUAACCCCUUGAAACAACGCUUAUUUGCAGUGGCUUCAUCUUCUGUAAAUUUAUCUGCCUCUUCAAUGACACUGUUGGCCGUUGCAAGCCAAUUCUCAACGUUCUCUUCAAUCUCUUCUCCUUUUCUUUUAGCCUCAUCAACCUGGUGCUCUGUACUCACCCUCUCAGACUUUAGUUUCGCAACUUCAGUGUUGAGAUUCUGUAAGUUGCUCGUGUACUUACUCUCACGCAAAUAGCUAAUUUGGCGAUAUGCGGGAGGAGCCAAGCACUUUACAACUUCUAAAACAAUAGUAAGAAUGAUUUCAGCCAUCUUCAGUCCUUUGUCCUUGUCUCUCUAUCUCUCUUUUUCUGAAUUUUGGAAAAACAAUUCAACAGGUGACCACAACAAGAUGGAACACAAGUGACUACAACAAGAUGGAACAAAAUAAAAAGGAAAAAAAUACAAAGAGUGGAUGGAGAAUAAAACAGAGACAGCGUCACAGCUAGACACAAUUAGAUAGAGAACAGAGGAAAACCAAAUAACAAGACUUAAGAUUACAACAAACAGAGGCCGAGGUGGAUAUAUAUACUUGGAGAAUAAAAUUCAAGAGCAAAGCGAGUGCUGGGCUGCAGUUUCUUAAGGAGAUUUAUAUAUCAUCCUCAAAAAUAAAUAUUUUAAGGUAGGUAUUUAGACUAUUUCAUCAUAAAAUAAAUGUAAUUAAUUUUCAUAAAUAUGUGAUAUCAAUAUUUAUUUAUUUUUUUAAUUACUGAUGGCCUUUGAAUAUACGAUACAUAUUACUAAUUCAAAAAAUAAAUUGUGAUUAUUUGUUAAUGUAUAUGAUUACUUGUGAUGGUAAACAAGGU